rnacentral:lncRNA from 1 species
AAAAAAAAAAAAGCACAUGAAUUACCACAUUGGUAAAUUUGGUUUAUUUGCUUUACAAGUUGUUUUAAUGCAUAGGAAGAUAUUGUUUUUUUAGAGUUGCACGUCUGCCCCCUCAGGCAUUAGAAGUGUUUAGAAAUGUAAUCAAUUAGAUGUUUUAUGCUUAGGCAAAUUUGACUUCUCAAAAGUGAGGUAAUUAAAAAUUAGAUAAUACGUGAAAGUGAUUAUUCUUAUUAUUAUUUUGUUGAGAGACAGUCUUGCUGUUGCCCACGUUGGAGUGCAAUGGCACAAUCUCAGUUCACUGCAACCUCCACCGCCCAGGUUCAAACAAUUCUUCCGCCUCAGCCUCCGGAGUGGGAUUACAGGCGCAGGCCGCCAUUCCCCGCUAAUUUUUUGUAUUUUAGUAAAGAUUGGGUUUCACCGUAUUACCCAGAUUGAUCUCGAACUCUUCAGCUCAGACAAUCCGCUGGCCUCGACCUCCCAAAGUGCUGGUGGGUGCGGAAUUGGUGGGUUCUUGGUCUCACUGACUUAAAGAAUGAAGCUGUGCACCCUCGCGGUGAGUGUCACAGUUCUUAAAAACAGUGUGUGCGGAGUUCGUUCCUUCUGCUGCCUUCUGCUGUUUGGAUGUGUUUGGAGUUUCUUCCUUCUGGUGGGUUUGUGGUUUCGCUGGCUGAGGACUGAAGCUGCGGACCUUCGCGGUGAGUGUUACAGCUCUUAAGGGGGCGCGUGUGGAGUUAUUCAUUCCUCCUGGUGAGUUCAUGGCCUCACUGGCUUCAAGAGUGAAGACGCAGACCUUCCAGAUGAGUGUUACAGCUCAUAAAGGCAAUGUGGACCCAAAGAGAGACAGCAGUAAGAUCUGUACAACCUGAAAACCGUACAACAACAAAUCUUCCACAAUGUGGAAGGUGAUCUCAGCG